rnacentral:lncRNA from 1 species
CUGUCUGUCCAUCCAGGUGCCCAUCCGUGUGUCUGUUCGUCCACUCAUCCAUGUCUGUCCAUCCCGUCUGUCUGUCCAUCCACUCAUCCGUCCGUCCAUCCAUCCAGGUGCCCAUCUGUCUGUCUAUCUGUCCGUCCAUCCAGGUGCUCAUCCGUGUGUCUGUCCGUCCAUCCGUCCAUGUCUACCCAACCAGGUGCCCAUCCGUCCGUCUGUCCAUCCAUCCAGGUGCCCAUCUACGUGUCUGUCUGUCCAUCCUCCCGUCUGCCCAUCCAGGUGCCCAUCUGUCUGUCCGUCCUUUCAUCUGUCCAUCCCGGUGUCUAUCUGUCCAUCUUUCCGUCCAGACGUCAGUCCAUCCAGAUGUCCGUCUGUCCAUCAAUCCAGGUGUCCGUUCAUCUGUCCGUCUGUCCAUCCGCUUGCCCAUCCAGAUGUCCACCUGCCUGUCUGUCCAUCUGUCCAUCCAGGUGGCUGUCUGCUUGUCUGUCUGCUUGUCCCUCUGUCCGGCCAACUGCCCGUCCGUCCAGUUGUCCCUCUGUCUGCCAGUCAGUCAACUGUCAGUCUGUCUGUCCACCUGGUUGUCCAUCUGCCGUCUGUCCGUCCUUCUGUCUGUCUGCCCAGUUGUUCCUUUGUCUGUCUGUCUGUCUGGUUGUUCAACUGUCCCUCCAUCCGAUUGUCCAUCUGUCUGUCCAUCCGGUUGUCCCUCCAUCCAGCGGUCCGUCCAUCUCGGUGUUCCUCUGCCUGUCUGUCUGUCUGUCUGUCUGUCUGGUUAUCCUUCUCUCUGUCCGUCCAGCUGUCCCCCGUCCAGCUGUCUGUCCACCUGGUUGUUCCUCUGUCCGUCUGUCUGUCUGGUUGUCUGUUUGCCCAGCUGUCCGCCUGUCUGGGUGCCGCUUUGUCCAGCUGUCCAUCCAGGUGUCUGUCUGUCCUGUCAUCCCUCUGUCCAUCCGUUUGUCCACCCACUUGCCCACCUUUCUGUCUGUCCAGGUGUCUGUCUGUCUGUCUGUCCAGUUUGGCAUCCAUCUGCGUGUCCCCGUUGUCCGUCUUUCUGUCCAGCUGUCCGUCCGUCUGGGUCUCCAUCCAUCUGGGUGUCCGUGCGCGUGUCCGUCUUUCCAUCCAUCCAAUUGUCCGCGCGGCUGUCCGCCUGUCUGUCUGGAUGUCUGUCUGUCUGUCCAGCUAUCCAUCCACCCGUGGGAGAGUCCGUCUGUCUGUCCGCCUGUCCGUCCGCCCACCGCUCCCCCUUCCAGUUACCCGUUCGUCCACACGUCCGUCCGUCUGUCCGUCCAUCCCGCACCCUUCCAGCUGUCCGUUUCAUCCGUCCGUCCGUCUGUCUGUCCCUUCAGACCCACCCUGUGUCCCUACACCCGUGGGGUGGGAGCAAUG